GGGCGCGUAGCUCAGUUGGUUAGAGCGCAGCACUGAUAAUGCUGAGGUCGGAGGUUCGAUUCCCCCCGCGCCCA
rnacentral:tRNA from 1 species